rnacentral:lncRNA from 1 species
GUACCUCAUCAAGAAGAGAUUCUAAAGAAUGUACAGCUCUAAGAACAGUGAGUUGUUGUGAAAUACAAGCUCACAGUUUGAUUAUUUUCUUACAUGUUUUCUUAAUUGUCCUUAAUUGUCAUUUCUACAGACAGAAACUCUGGAAGAGGCACCUGUUAGAUCAUGAAGUAAAAAGAGAAGUAAAGUGCGGAAGAAAUGGUGUAAGGAAAAAAAAUAAACAUCCCAUUUCACUGUGA